GGCAAGUGGUUGUCGGACACUGAUAGAAGAAGUAGGAGAAACAGUAACAGAACAAAGCCAGAAGCAAUCCCGUUGCGCUGGAAUUGAGCAUUAGGCUCUGUCUCGCGAAGAAACGGAGACUCAAAAAGCUUAAGCAGCUUGCUGGUGCGACGCAACCGGAUGGAUGAGAUCGGAUGCUAAUCAUAGUCCCCAGGAAGGGAAAGCCCCACGCGUUCCUCCCAAUGCAAAUCAUUCGAUUACAGCUACCGGGCCUUUGCUCACGCCGUUUCCCCCACAUCAAAUACCCACUCACCCUAGACCAAGCCAAAGACCACCUCCAGAAAACCUCCCCGACUUCACCCUCCACCCAUUUGCCCCCCAGGCAGCGUUUUUCCCGCUUGGGGCUCUCACUGUGUCCCCUUGUGUCCCCGCUCUGAUCAUCCUGUAUCAUUCCUGUUCAAGUGUCCAUUUCUGUUUCUGUCCCCCACCCUUCAAGACUGACAGCCCUUUGAGGGACGGUGCGUCGUCCCGCAGAGGGCCUGGAUUCGAGAGAUCUCAGAAAGGGAAAGCUCCUAUCUGGGAAUUCUCAUUCUUAAAGUGGGAUGAUGUGAACUUCUGUAGAAAAUUCAUAUUCAGAGUAGCUGCUAAGGCUGAAAACUUUGUAUAAUCCUGGGUUCCCUGUUCCCAAUCCUAGCAUGCCUGCAUCAGGUCCUGAUGGUUCUUCCUCCAACACACGCCGUAAACCCCCAUCCACAUGUUCUCAUCCCCACUACCCCACCCUCUUGGAAGAUAGCAGCCUCCUCCCUGGGCUUUCUGCUUCCACUCUCGGUUUUCACUGCAAUCCAUUCUCCAAACUGCAGAUACAGUGCUCACCUUAUAUUUUUUUCUUUGCUUAAAACAACAAUAAACACUUAUUAUCUGAGA